GCCCGGGUGGCUUAGUCGGUUGAGCGCCUGACUCUUGAUUUCGGCCCAGGUCAUGAUCUCACGGUGUGUGGGUUUGAGCCCCGCAUCGGGCU
rnacentral:tRNA from 1 species